CAGUAGCCGCGGUAAUACGGAGGGUGCAAGCGUUAAUCGGAAUUACUGGGCGUAAAGCGCACGCAGGCGGUCUGACAAGUCAGAUGUGAAAUCCCCGGGCUUAACCUGGGAACUGCAUUUGAAACUGUCAGGCUGGAGUCUUGUAGAGGGGGGUAGAAUUCCAGGUGUAGCGGUGAAAUGCGUAGAGAUCUGGAGGAAUACCGGUGGCGAAGGCGGCCCCCUGGACAAAGACUGACGCUCAGGUGCGAAAGCGUGGGGAGCAAACAGGAUUAGAUACCCGAGUAGUCCCUGUCUAUUAUAC
rnacentral:rRNA from 1 species